GGUUAAGCGACUAAGCGUACACGGUGGAUGCCCUGGCAGUCAGAGGCGAUGAAGGACGUGCUAAUCUGCGAUAAGCGCCGGUAAGGUGAUAUGAACCGUUAUAACCGGCGAUUUCCGAAUGGGGAAACCCAGUGUGACUCGUCACACUAUCAUUAACUGAAUCCAUAGGUUAAUGAGGCGAACCGGGGGAACUGAAACAUCUAAGUACCCCGAGGAAAAGAAAUCAACCGAGAUUCCCCCAGUAGCGGCGAGCGAACGGGGAGGAGCCCAGAGCCUGAAUCAGCAUGUGUGUUAGUGGAAGCGUCUGGAAAGGCGCGCGAUACAGGGUGACAGCCCCGUACACAAAAGCGCAUGUGCUGUGAGCUCG
rnacentral:rRNA from 1 species